UAACAAGGUUUUUUAUUGGUUCUUCUGCAGUGCGCCAAAGGAAGCCUUAGCAGCCUGAAAGGGUGUAUCUCCGCGACUAUAAAUAAAAAGGGGAUUUUAAAUGCUAGUCUGAUAAAAAAAGGCGACAUUGCCAAAUUGCGGGAAGUCCCUAAAGAUUCAACUACUAAGCAGCUUGUGGAAACACAGUUGUGGCCGAGUUAAUAGCCCUGGGUAUAGUAACAAUGUUGAAUAUGACUCUUAAUUGAGGAAAUGGGUGAUCCGCAGCCAAAUCCUAAGGACAUUUUAUUGUCUAUGGAUGCAGUUCACAGGCCAGAUGGCAAUGGGUAUCCUAGUGGGAUAUAUAUAUAUGGAUGCUUAAGAUAUGGUCGAGCUUCUCUCGAAAGAGAG
rnacentral:ncRNA from 1 species